rnacentral:lncRNA from 1 species
UGGAAAAGCCUUGCUCUUUCUCACACAGCAGAACCCAUCAGCCUGGGGAGAGAUUGUUUCCCUCUGAUCCAGUUAGAGGAGAAAGGCAGGGAUCUCUCACAAGGUGAGCAGUAGCAGGAUGGCUUUUUGAUGUUUCUCUUCUAGGAAAGCCAUGUCUUUUCUCCAUGGCAGAAGGGCACCAGAUCUUCCUGUUACAUGUGCCGCUUGGCCCGACAGCGGGGACAUCACUGCCCUCGAGGACAUCGAUGCCCUUGGGGACAUCACUGCCCAGCCCAGGAUGGUGUCUGGGCUGCUCCCUCGGGAAGGCGGUUUGGGAAAAGGCAGGAACAGGUCGGGAACCAGCAGAACCGCAGAGAGCUCGCUCCAGUCCCGCCACCUCCUCCUGAUAAUGAUGGAAACUGCCUCGGAUGUCUCCUGCCAGCGCUGAAAUUAAUACCCUUCUUCAUUGGAAGUGGCAUAUUCAACUACUCCCCAAAAGGUUUUUUGGCUGGUUGGCCUCUAUCAUCCGUGGGGAACUGGUCCCUCCGAAGCCGAGUCUUGCCUUGCCUUUGGGCAUCACCCGAU